AAUGCGUUAGGCUGGUUUCACAGAGCUGCGAGAACCUCACGCUCUACACAGUGUAAGGAUUACA
rnacentral:SRP_RNA from 1 species